GACGAACGCUGGCGGCGUGCCUAAUACAUGCAAGUCGAGCGCAGGAAACUGACGGAACUCUUCGGAGGGAAGGCAGUGGAAUGAGCGGCGGACGGGUGAGUAACACGUAAGGAACCUGCCUCAAGGAUUGGGAUAACUCCGAGAAAUCGGAGCCAAUACCGGAUAGUUCAACGGACCGCAUGGUCCGCUGAUGGAAGGCUCUCCGGCGUCACCUUGAUAUGGCCUUGCGGUGCAUUAGCUAGUUGGGGGGGUAACGGCCCACCAUGGCGACGAUGCAUAGCCGACCUGAGAGGGUGAUAGGCCACACUGGGACUGAGACACGACCCAGACUCCUACGGGAGGCAGCAGUAGGGAAUCUUCCACAAUGGACGAAAGUCUGAUGGAGCAACGCCGCGUGAGUGAUGAAGGUUUUCGGAUCGUAAAACUCUGUUGUAAGGGAAGAACACGUACGAGAGGAAAUGCUCGUACCUUGACGGUACCUUACGAGAAAGCCACGGCUAACUACGUGCCAGCCGCCGCCGUAACAC
rnacentral:rRNA from 1 species